CUCAGCCAGCUGCUGAUUAUCUGCCAGUUGUAUUGACAGGUGUGGUAUUAUUCCAUGUGUGGGUGUGACUGGUUGGAUCCUGGAGCCAUGCCUUCAUGCCAGGUCAUGUGCCCAGCUCCCCAUUAUUUAUUUAUAGGUGCUGAUGACUCAGAUUUGGGAAUGGUGGCCUGGCAAGGCCAGCCAUGGAAACCUGAAACCCUGGAUUGCUCUGUUAUGGCACCCCUGCCAUGCUGCUGUCAUUGUAAUGUGUUCCCAUAACUGGAAAUGAUUGAUUUCUAAGGAUUGCAUGGAUUCUCCUGGCAGUGGGUGUGCC